rnacentral:tRNA from 4 species
GUGCCCGUGGUUCAGCGGAUAGAACGCCAGCCUCCGGAGCUGGAGAUCGCAGGUUCGAAUCCUGCCGGGCACA